ACCCGCUGAAACUUAAGCAUAUAACUAAGCGGAGGAAAAGAAACUAACAAGGAUUCCCCCAGUAACGGCGAGUGAAGCGGGAAGAGCUCACGUUGUGAAUCUGGCCCUCGGGCCCGAAUUGUACACUGGAGAGGCGUGGCCAGCCGCUGUCCGCGGCCAAGUCUGAUUGGAAAUGAGCAUCAAGGAGGGUGACAAUCCCGUCCAUGCCGCGGUACCGAUCAGCGCGCGUCCGGCCCGCUUUCGACGAGUCGAGUUGCUUGGGAUUGCAGCUCAAAGAGGGUGGUAAACUCCAUCCAAAGCUAAACACGGGGGGGAGACCGAUAGCGAACAAGUACCGUGAGGGAAAGAUGCAAAGAACUUUGAAAAGAGAGUUAAAGAGUGCCUGAAAUUGCUGGAAGGGAAGCGAAGGAAAGAGGUGUGCGGUUGCCCGGGCGCCAACCCCUACCUGUUCGCAGGUGGGGGUAGGCCGCCCGGCCGCGGUCAGGGGUAGCGCCGGGCUCGGGGGAAGAGCCGUCGGGGAUCGGUAGGCGAGCCGCUUCGGUGGUGCGCUGUCAGGCCCCGGUGGUUGUUGCCCUGAGCCCGGCCCCCGUCUGGCGGUCGCGGCUUUUCUUCACCCCGUCUUGAAACACGGACCAA
rnacentral:rRNA from 1 species